GGCAUUAGGGUUAGCAGUGUGGUUAGGGUUAGGCAUUAGGGUUAGCAGUGUGGUUAAGGUUAGGCAUUAGGUUUAGCAGUGUGGUUAAGGUUAGGAAUUAGGGUUAGCAGUGUGGUUAGGGUUAAGGUUAUCAGUGUGCUUAAGGCUAGGGUUAAGGUUAGGUUCAAUGACAUUGUGGCUGUUCCAACUAGUGUCCCCUCUGCAGAGCAGUACAAGAUUCAUGAAGAAAAAUGCUAACCUGCAUGUCAUACGAGCAGAGAGGUGAAUGCUAACCUGCAUGUCAUACGAGCAGAGAGGUGAAUGCUAACCUGCAUGUCAUACGAGCAGAGAGGUGAAUGCUAACCUGCAUGUCAUACGAGCAGAGAGGUGAAUGCUAACCUGCAUGUCAUACGAGCAGAGAGGUGAAUGCUAACCUGCAUGUCAUACGAGCAGAGAGGUGAAUGCUAACCUGCAUGUCAUACGAGCAGAGAGGUGAAUGCUAACCUGCAUGUCAUACGAGCAGAGAGGUGAAUGCUAACCUGCAUGUCAUACGAGCAGAGAGGUGAAUGCUAACCUGCAUGUCAUACGAGCAGAGAGGUGAAUGCUAACCUGCAUGUCAUACGAGCAGAGAGGUGAAUGCUAACCUGCAUGUCAUACGAGCAGAGAGGUGAAUGCUAACCUGCAUGUCAUACGAGCAGAGAGGUGAAUGCUAACCUGCAUGUCAUACGAGCAGAGAGGUGAAUGCUAACCUGCAUGUCAUACGAGCAGAGAGGUGAAUGCUAACCUGCAUGUCAUACGAGCAGAGAGGUGAAUGCUAACCUGCAUGUCAUACGAGCAGAGAGGUGAAUGCUUACUCAGAGUAUAUUUCACUUGAAACACUUUACAGCUCAAGCUAAUUGGCUAAUGUAACAUGUCCUCAUAUUCCCCUACAGUUGAAUACCUAAAAAUCCUUCUUGUGUCGGUUCUGAAAUAUUAAUGACAGACUGAUUAAUCAUCCUGGUUUGCGUCAGAUUUUAGACACACACCGUAUCUGGUUCUCCAUUAAAAGCACCACCACACCGACCACUUCUCUACUGGGAAAACAAUGGCUUCCUGUAGCAGUGAUGUGCUGUGGAGCAUCGCAUCUCGUGGGGUGUUGAUUUACUAAUCUCCCCCAGGGGAAUGAGACGUUACUGGGCCUGGCAGACCUUGAGGAAACCGUGGCAGAUCCUGGGUGUUGUUGGAAGCCAGCCCCAUACAUUUAACUAGCCCUCUGGUUCCUGGCUCCUUAUGGCCUCCUGGCCUACUUCUGCUGUGUGACAUCACCAAGGCCCGGCUUGGGGUAUCGGACCCGCACCUGUCGCUUGUUGCUGCCUCUGACUGGGAGAGGUCCCAGAAAGCUGAGGCCCGAGAGGGAGGAAUGAGGGGCAGCUGUGCCUCUCUGCGCACCCCUCCCACCCAUAACCAGGCUAAUACCCCUAGACUCAGUUAUUCAGUUAUAGCCUCUCAAACUCUGCCCCUCCUUGCCUCUCUCCCUCUCUAGCGUUCCGCAGUCCUGACAGUGACCAGAGGAUCAACACCGGGUACCUCAGAAUACAUCCAUACACCAGCAGCAGGCCAGACCAGGGCCUGGUUGGGAUGGUUGGGAGGUGUAACCUGAGCUCGCCAUGGGAAUGCCACCCAUCUGUGGCACUUUAAACCUCUCUUGGGAUGCUUCUCUCAGGCUGGGCUGUCUAUUUACAUCACAUGGGCCUGGAUCCCUUCCUGUUUUUACUGCUUAGUGGGCAGCGGCAGAGUCCACUUUCUGUCUACUUCUGCAAUGUGUUGAAAUGUUCCUCUGUUAGCUCCUAUCUGUUUAUUAAAUGGUCAAAUGUC